UACGGAGGGGGCUAGCGUUGUUCGGAAUUACUGGGCGUAAAGCGCACGUAGGCGGCUUUGUAAGUUAGAGGUGAAAGCCCGGGGCUCAACUCCGGAAUUGCCUUUAAGACUGCAUCGCUAGAAUUGUGGAGAGGUAAGUGGAAUUCCGAGUGUAGAGGUGAAAUUCGUAGAUAUUCGGAAGAACACCAGUGGGGAAGGCGACUUACUGGACACAUAUUGACGCUGAGGUGCGAAAGCGUGGGGAGCAAACAGG
rnacentral:rRNA from 1 species